CAACAAGAGAAAACCACAACAGGAAGAAAAAAGAGGUCUUGCAUUGGAGGAAAGAUCACGUGUCACGAGCAGAUCCUUUGAUGAAGACACGUGGAAGGAGGAAGAUCUGGGUAAUCGUCGGUCGUCGUUGAAGAUGUUUGUCGACUCCAAUGAAACCCAAAACCACUGGAAUAUGUAUGAUGAUCGCAAGUCAAAUCGUCGAUCCAUCAAGGUUCACAAUAAACUAAUGGUAGCAAUUGUCAAUAUUGGGAGAUCUCCAUAUAUCUUAGCUAUAAAAUAGGAAAAUAUCUUUGUGGAGAUUAGGAAAUUGUAUAGCUUCCUCUCCACGUGUAGUUAACCUAAAUAUUCUCUUGUAAAUAUAUCAAGGUGUAAUCGUAUGAAAUCAAUAAGAGAAAACGUUCAUCUAAACCUAGCCGCUUCUAGUUUCUACAUGGUAUCAGAGCCUUGCCUUU